rnacentral:lncRNA from 1 species
AGGAAAGCUGCACGCGUGUUGGUCGUUGACGCCUGACUGUUAAUAUAAAAACAGUUUUGCUGUGGCUUUAUGUACUUUCGUUUGCUUAAUUAAUUAUUUUUUUAUUAACAGAAUUGUUAUAUACCAUUAAUAUCACAUUUGUAAUUCUACUUCGGACAAAAACAGCCUUUGAUGAACUGCUAUGCUUGCCUUCAUGUGAUGCUAACGUUACCUUUAGGCAUAUAGUACAUUCACUGACACGCGGAGAUCAGACAUAUUUUAUUUAGUAUUAAAUUCUCCAGUUUACUCCUCGUCUGACUUCAGAAAAACAACACCGCCUCGUUAUCACAGCAGAUUGUUCUGUUCUAGAUCUGACCACAGCAUCACAAACUGUAAGUAAGUUGUCUGUAAAUUAUUGUUUUAUAGUCAAAAGUUCCAUCACACAGCCCCUGUUUCAGCAUGGUUUUUCACAC